rnacentral:rRNA from 1 species
CUUUUACAAUGAAGAGUUUGAUCCUGGCUCAGGAUGAACGCUAGCUACAGGCUUAACACAUGCAAGUCGAGGGGCAGCAUUUCAGUUUGCUAGCAAAGUGAAGAUGGCGACCGGCGCACGGGUGAGUAACACGUAUCCAACCUGCCGAUAACUCGGGGAUAGCCUUUCGAAAGAAAGAUUAAUAUCCGAUAGUAUAUUAAAACCGCAUGGUUUUACUAUUAAAGAAUUUCGGUUAUCGAUGGGGAUGCGUUCCAUUAGUUUGUUGGCGGGGUAACGGCCCACCAAGACUACGAUGGAUAGGGGUUCUGAGAGGAAGGUCCCCCACAUUGGAACUGAGACACGGUCCAAACUCCUACGGGAGGCAGCAGUGAGGAAUAUUGGUCAAUGGACGAGAGUCUGAACCAGCCAAGUAGCGUGAAGGAUGACUGCCCUAUGGGUUGUAAACUUCUUUUAUAUGGGAAUAAAGUAUUCCACGUGUGGAAUUUUGUAUGUACCAUAUGAAUAAGGAUCGGCUAACUCCGUGCCAGCAGCCGCGGUAAUACGGAGGAUCCGAGCGUUAUCCGGAUUUAUUGGGUUUAAAGGGAGCGUAGGUGGAUUGUUAAGUCAGUUGUGAAAGUUUGCGGCUCAACCGUAAAAUUGCAGUUGAAACUGGCAGUCUUGAGUACAGUAGAGGUGGGCGGAAUUCGUGGUGUAGCGGUGAAAUGCUUAGAUAUCACGAAGAACUCCGAUUGCGAAGGCAGCUCACUAGACUGCAACUGACACUGAUGCUCGAAAGUGUGGGUAUCAAACAGGAUUAGAUACCCUGGUAGUCCACACAGUAAACGAUGAAUACUCGCUGUUUGCGAUAUACAGUAAGCGGCCAAGCGAAAGCAUUAAGUAUUCCACCUGGGGAGUACGCCGGCAACGGUGAAACUCAAAGGAAUUGACGGGGGCCCGCACAAGCGGAGGAACAUGUGGUUUAAUUCGAUGAUACGCGAGGAACCUUACCCGGGCUUAAAUUGCAUUUGAAUAAUCUGGAAACAGGUUAGCCGCAAGGCAAAUGUGAAGGUGCUGCAUGGUUGUCGUCAGCUCGUGCCGUGAGGUGUCGGCUUAAGUGCCAUAACGAGCGCAACCCUUAUCUUUAGUUACUAACAGGUCAUGCUGAGGACUCUAGAGAGACUGCCGUCGUAAGAUGUGAGGAAGGUGGGGAUGACGUCAAAUCAGCACGGCCCUUACGUCCGGGGCUACACACGUGUUACAAUGGGGGGUACAGAAGGCAGCUACCUGGUGACAGGAUGCUAAUCCCAAAAACCUCUCUCAGUUCGGAUCGAAGUCUGCAACCCGACUUCGUGAAGCUGGAUUCGCUAGUAAUCGCGCAUCAGCCAUGGCGCGGUGAAUACGUUCCCGGGCCUUGUACACACCGCCCGUCAAGCCAUGAAAGCCGGGGGUACCUGAAGUACGUAACCGCAAGGAGCGUCCUAGGGUAAAACUGGUAAUUGGGGCUAAGUCGUAACAAGGUAGCCGUACCGGAAGGUGCGGCUGGAACACCUCCUUU